rnacentral:rRNA from 1 species
GUGCCAGCCGCCGCGGUAAGACAGAGGGUGCAAACGUUGUUCGGAAUUACUGGGCGUAAAGCGCGUGUAGGCGGCUGCGCAAGUCGGAUGUGAAAUCCCAUGGCUCAACCAUGGAAGUGCACCCGAAACUGCGUAGCUUGAGUCUCGGAGAGGAAGGCGGAAUGCUUGGUGUAGAGGUGAAAUUCGUAGAUAUCAAGCGGAACACCGGUGGCGAAGGCGGCCUUCUGGACGAUGACUGACGCUGAGACGCGAAAGCGUGGGGAGCAAACAGGAUUAGAUACCCUAGUAGUCC